UGCAGAGGUUGAUGUACCUAAGAUAACAGAAUUACACAUCACCUCUCAAGUUCAGUCGAGAUUUGCAACUGUCAAAAUAUCCAGCACCAUUGUGAAUAUAAAGAAUGACACCAAAGAAGCGAAUUUCCAAGUGCAGAUUCCAGAAUCGGCUUUUAUAUCCAAUUUCACCAUGAUAAUCAACGGCCAGUUUCAUGAAUCAAAGGUAUAUGAAAAGAAGGAAGCUCAGAAAAAAUAUGACAAGGCUAAAAAGGAUGGGAUAUCAGCUGGACAAAUUCGACACUCUACCACAGAUGUGGCCCGUGGUAUGGAUAUAUUUGCCACAUCGGUGAACGUUGCUGCCGAGAGCGAGGUCUACCUGGAACUAACCUACCUCCAGUUACUGGAGCGACGUCUUGGUCUAUAUGAACAGAGGAUUAUGGUACAACCCAGGCAGAUUGUGGAUAACUUAACAUUGAAUCUUGUCUACGAAGAGGGUCCUCAAAUAUUUGACAGAUUUACCUAUCGUCUCCCCAACAGCACUAAUGUUUUGGAUGCAACAUCAGAACAUGCGACACUCAUGGCAUCAGUCUCAAAGCGUCAAAUCAUAUACAACCCUUCUGUGUCUCGACAGACACAGGUCAACGCUGACCGAGGCAUUGAUGGUGAAUUUGUUGUGUCCUAUGAUCUACAACAUGGAUUUGAUGGAGGCAGCAUAAUCUCGGCCCUCAGUAAUGAUUUUUUUGUUCAUUAUUUCGCUGUUGACAAAUCUGAUGAAUUGCCACCCAUCCCGAAGAGCGUCAUAUUUGUGAUUGAUAUCAGUGGGUCAAUGGGAGGAAGGAAGAUUGAACAGACAAGAGAUGCAAUGAAACAGAUUCUCCAGCAGCUGAGUAGUGUUGACUUCUUCAACAUAAUACUGUUUAAUAGUGAAGUAGUUGUGUGGCAGUCAGGCCCUCAACAAGCCACCUCAAACAACAUCCAGUCUGCUCAAAGCUAUGUUGAUCAGAAAGUGAAGGCUGGUGGACGCACAAAUAUCAAUUCUGGUCUUCUUGAUGCUCUUGGGAUCCUUUUCAAGAACAAGAUCAAUAAGGCUGACAUCAUUGUAUUCCUGACAGACGGAGAGCCUUCAGCUGGAGUAACUGAUGUUCUGAAAAUUCAUAAAAAUGUCAAAGGUCUGAAUGAAGGAAGAGUUGCCGUAUUCUCAUUGGGAUUUGGUCAAGGUGUAAAUUUCAAGUUUCUGGAGCAAAUAUCUUUGGAGAAUGGAGGCUUUGCCAGGCGUAUUUAUGAAGAGGAUGAUGCAGCAGAGCAGCUGACCAAUUUCUUUAGAGAAGUGAACAUCCCUCUGCUCCUCCAAGUGCAGUUUCAGUACAACAGCAACCAAGUUGACAUGUCGCAGCUGACCAAAACAACAUUCAAUCAGUUCUUCUCUGGAACAGAAGUGGUGGUUGUGGGCAAGAGGCUGGGUGAUGUCAUAGAUGCCACAGUGGAGGGCUCCACAAGUGCUAACAAGGUUCAGCUUGUAGUUCCUGAUUCAUCAAAGAAACAGCUGUCUGGACCAUCUGGAGAGUUUACCGAGAAGCUGUGGGCGUAUCUGACCAUCAAGGACUUGUUGCAGAAGAAGGCAAUAGCAACCUCUGAUGAGGAAGGUGAGAUAUUGGAAGGUCGAGCCCUCAACAUGUCACUGGCUUACAAGUUUGUAACUCCCCUCACAUCUCUGUUGAUUGUUCAGGAGCAGCAGUCACAAAUGACAGAAGACCAUAAGUCUAGUAUUAAUGUCCCAUCUUCUGCUGGUGUCCCUACCUCUUCUGCAAGCUCCUUAUCUGUCACUAUGUUGACAGUGAUGCCAAUCAUAAUGUUGGUUUUCAAAGCUUGUAACAACUAAAUCUGGCCUUUGAACUAAGGUCUAAGCACUGGGAUUGCUUGGGCCUUUGUGCUUUUGAGUAGCUUUUAGGUCCUGGUGACCAUGUGGUUCCCAUACUAAACACUUAAACAAGAAGAGCUUUAUUAUGUUUAUACAAACAAUUGAAACAAAUAAUUCAAUGAAUUGACUACAGAAAUAAUUUUUUAAAAAUGAAAGAAAUUAAGUUUUAAAACUACAGUAUUAUCAUCUCUUUAUGAGAUAGUUUAAUGUAAUUUAAAUCACAUGUCUCCAUCUUUAAGCUUUAGGCCCAGAUGUAUAUUGAUAAAAUGUCUGUAAGAGCACUGGGGGUACAUGUUUUGGGGAGCUUAUGGAUGGUGAGACUUCUAAAUUUUGUGAUUGAGUGAAGUAAAUAUCACAUGUAGAGUCAUUCGUAACUACUCGCCUCUUUCCGUGCCCUACAAGAAGACUCGUACCCCUAUCGUACGCCAUUAUUGCCAAAAAUCAUGGCAAACCAAUCAAAUCAAGCGUAGUAGAAUGCAUUUCGAAACAUGAAAAUGGCGGCACUGUUGAACUUUGAAACUUCACUAAACUAUGCAAAGCACAAUUUAAACAUAAACUUUGAGCUAAACCAUCAGAAACUUUAAACACUGAAAUAUGUUUACAAAGGGAAUGACUGUAUUGCUCUUUGCCCAUGAGAUGUAGGAUAUUAUAUGAGCCAUAUUUGUAAUUUCAGAGUUAUCUUUCCUUUGUAGGAAUACUAGACUAUUUUCAUCCCCAUGCCUGUUUGCGCUUAGACAGGGCCCAGUCGUAAACAUGGCCACGAAAGGGGUACGAGACGCCAUCCAGCUUGCCGGAAUGGCACGAGUAGUUACGAAUGAUGUAGAGUAUGCUACAAUGGGGACAGUUGAAUAACAUUUGUAAUGAUUGAAAUAGUCAUGCUCUUUUGCAUCUCAUGACUUUCAGUUCAAAUGCUGUGUAUCCCUGUCAAUUUUAAGUGUAUCAGGUUUAAUAUUUGAUAACACUUGUUAUUGCAGUUUGAUGCAAAUGAGUUGCAGUUAGGGAUGUAAAAUUACUAGAAUUUGGUAUUGCAAUAUAUUGCAAUACUUAGGUCUGCUUUGUAAUAUAAAUAUUGAGGAAUAUGUUGCCAUUGACAGAGAAGUAUGUUUUCUGCCAAUUUUUAAGCAACUUAUAUUUGUAAAGACCUAAAUAGUGCCAUUCAUUUACAAUAUUGUUUUUUCAGUUAGUACUUGCCUUAAAGUUGGGAGGCUCAGAUUUUAACCACUGCAACGUUUCAUCAAUGGUAGUUACACAAAAUGACAAAAACAGUCCAUACCAGAAGUAUCGUUUGUAUGAGACUAGUAGUCUGUCUCACAGUCCCUGAACCACGUUAUUUUCCCUACUGCCAAGCCCUCCCUGCAGUGCUAAAGCCCUAAAUAAAGCAAGACUAGAUUUCCCCAGGUUCUGAAUCUCUGGUCUCCCUAGGGCUCCUUUUCAAUAUAAAUGGGCUUGUUUGUUACUAUCAAAAUUAUAUAUAUUCAGAGACUAAGCCUUAGUCUAUGAGACUAGCUGUAUGAUGCUUUGUUAAUUCUAUAAUUUAUAAAACUCCAAGGAAUACGAUUCAUAUAUUUUGUGUAAAAUACCAGCCCAUUUAGAUGAUGUUGCAGUAUAUUGUUGAAGAUUUGCAUUCCGCUCAAUAUUGGUAGUACUGUAUAUUUUUAUAUUUUUCUUAAUAUGAAAUUAUUUGUUGUUUGAAUGAAAACCAUUGAGAGUCUAUAGUGUCCACUGAUUAUCUGUCUUUUUUAUUCAGGUUUCAGAAAAAAUCUUUUCAGUGUGUACAACAUGUAUAUACUCAUAUAUAGAAAUCUUUAUUUACCUUAUUAGCCUUUUGAGCUUGUCAGCAAAAUUGUAUACAAUUUAGAAUAUAAUGUAUAUGUACAUGAUUAAAUUGAUCUGCAAAUUUAUAGAAUGUGACAUUUCUUGGUAUGCGAGCUAGUCUUGCAUUGUACUGUUCACUGUGAUUUUUAUUGUCUGUAUUCAGUACUAAAUGAAUAAGAAUGUCAACCAUCUGUAAUCAUGAUGGCCAGGGAAUUUUGACUGUGCCUUUCUCAUUCGAACCACUAAGACCCACCAGGCUCAAAUGGAAACAUUCUGUGAUAUGUGCUGGCCAAAUGAAGUACACACCCUUGUUUGUCAAAACCAAAAUGAAAUGAUAUGGUGAUAUAUUUGGUUAUAGAUCUCAAAAUAUUUUUAAUUUUAAGUUUGCAUUGUUUCGGCAACUAUUUUCAACCAAGCAAUAGUUUUUUGGAUAAUGUUUAUGAUUUGGAAGUCAAACCCAUAUUUCAAGUGUGUACUUUGUUUUUCCUGUGAGUAUAUUUGCAUUUGUCUUGAGAGCAGUUUUACAUGUUAACCAUAUAUGUAUAUAUCUAUGUUCAUAUUCAGUAUGUCAGUACCUACCCAGUACAUUGUGCAUGUUUUGUUUGGUUUCUCUAUUGCCAACCUGGUAUUCCCCGCCAUGAUAAGGCUGUGAAUUUGCUAAAAGCGACGUACAACUAACUGCCAAAAUUAUAACUUUCAGUGAAACUCAUCCUGAUGACUGGUAAAAUAUAAUGGUUUUGUUCUUCAUGUCAUUUUGAUAAUUAGAAUAAAGGUUUUAUCUGGAUUUAGGGAUGUUGGUUCCACCAGAUAUUAAAAAUGUAAUGUCAUUCAGAGCUAUUUUCCCAUACUUAAUCACAUUUAACCUGUGAUAUUAUUAUAAAAAGGACUGUUAUUAUGUGUGGUCGUAUAUUUACAUGUGUGUUUACAUUGAUAAUUAGAUAUUAGUUGUUUGUAGAUUAUAUGGAAUAGCCUGGACAUGCUGUCUGAAACUGCAAUUGUAGUCACUAGUUAGAAGCCUGAGUCAAGAAUUCUGUAUGGUCUAAGAUCAGAAAUUAAAUGCCAAAUGAUACUUGUAAAAUCUUCUGAAAAUGAUACUAAGAACAAAGUUUGGGCUAGUGGACUGAAAAUAUUUGGGUACAACUUAUAUCUGUCUGUUCAACUUGUGGCCAUCAAAGACAACAUUUAUGGUAAAAUAUUUAAUUUAUCCUAACCAGGUUCACCUUUCAUUACCAUGUAGUGCCAGCUUGGACCAAUUUCUGUGGAUAACAUUUUAUUUUAUAUUUUAUUUUAAUUUAAUUUUAUUUUAUUGGAUUAUGCAUAAAAAAUAUUAUCUUCUAGUUCUGAUAAGUGGAUACACAUUUUCCUUCUUAAUUAUAUAAUGCUCAAAUUAUUUUGGGGGGGAAAAGGUUGGUAGAUGUUUGGUAAAUAGUUUCAUGAAUAAUCUUUGUUUUGAAUAUGUGCUUUCAAGUCUUCGUUCACAUUACAUUGAUAGUAUUCUUCGAGUAGUCAGUACAUUUUAGCCUUAGACAUUUUUACACUUAUGAUUUUAACUAUUUACAAGUGUUUUGAUUAAAUGCUGUUUCGGGUUAUUUCUAAUUUGUUUCUUGCCCCAAGUUUGUAACAUUUUGCAUAAACUCAAAACUUUGAUGUGUGUGUUUCAUUAACAAGAAAUGGCUGUUCAACAGUGAUGUAUUAGAUAAGCUUUUGAUAACAUUUGCAAUUUUGGAGUUCCAAGUUUGUUCCACGUUUAGUUAAGCAGUAUUGUUUAAUUAUCCGAGUUUAGUUAACCAGACUCUAAUAAUGAUAAUUAAUGAACAAAGUUGCCGGGACCAAAGAAAAGUGUUUACUUAUCAGGUCUGUUUAGUUAAGCGGUCUUUACUUAGGCGGUUUCCACUGUAUUUGAUUGUCCAGGUUUUUCUUUGCCUUACUUUUGUCUUGAGAUUUUGUGAAGAUUUUGUAUGUUAAACAUACAUUUGUAUAUGUCGCUAAUAGGGUAAUGUUUAUUGUUUUCAUUGCACAAUAGUUCAGAUUCUUUGUGUUAAAGUCAGUAUACAAAGUAGUUUUCUCUUGAUGGUCCUUUUGAUCAUUGAAAUAUACUACCCAUCACUAGUGUAAAUGUAGCCACUUACUUCAGUCAACUGUUUGCAAACUAUUUUGCAAAAUAUUCCAUACUAUUUAAAGGUACUGUUUACACUUGGAACUGAUGUAUUGUAGAAAAAAAAUGUAACGUUGAAAAGAUUAUUGUCAUGAGU
rnacentral:misc_RNA from 1 species